rnacentral:rRNA from 1 species
AACGACUCUCGGCAACGGAUAUCUCGCGUCUCGCAUCGAUGAAGAACGUAGCGAAAUGCGAUACUUGGUGUGAAUUGCAGAAUCCCGUGAACCAUCGAGUCUUUGAACGCAAGUUGCGCCCAAAGCCAUUAGGCCGAGGGCACGUCUGCCUGGGCGUCACG